AGCGAUCUAAGGGCUCUGGCUGUUCCUGGGUAGCAUCAGACCAAGUGAAAUUCCACUCAUUGCAUUCAUGCUCAGGAUUCAUAAUCGCCUCUUAUCUUCUGGGGAACGAUUACUAAACCCACUUCUAGUUAUGGGCAAAAUCCGCUUCAAUUUCCCAGAACACAUUUUGAAUACAUAUCAGCCAAUAGGCUUCCACUUCACUGCACCGCAAGAAUCCCCAAGUGGAUGACAUCAUAUUCACGCGAGAGAGAAUCAAGAGACGGCUGCUCCAUAUGCUUUUUAAAACUUUCGCAGUAAUGUGAUGUCAUCCACCUGUCGGUCCUCCUUGACUCCUUGCGGCGCUAUGGCGAAAGUCACGUAACUUGACCAACACAUCGGAUCAGAUCAACGGACUAAAGACGAAGUCUUGAUUCCCAUUCGACAUAUUUAGCAUCUCCAACCUGAAGGACUGUACGUGUCGACAUGAAUAAGAUUCAGAAGAAAGGAAAGGUUCCCUUCAAAACUUCACGUACGGGAGCCACUACUCUAAGAGCUAAUCCAAAGAAAUCAGCAAAGUCAAUUCAACUGAUGGAUUCAUUGGAUUCAACAGCUGAAGGCAAGCAAUCACAGAAGAGAGACUCUACAAGAUUGGCCCUCACAAAAAAGGCAGUGACACACAUGGUUGGUGCUCUAAAGGAGGACCUGAGAAAAAAAAAGUACCUGAUCUUAACACAGCCCCACCAUUUUAUGACUCCGACUCUGAUGUAACAGCCAUUGAUGAAGAAUCAUCUCCACUGAAGGAACCACUAAGAAAUCUUGACUCGGAAAGUGAGGAUGAUAUCUCAUCACAGUGUCCACAAAAAUACCCUAAGCUUGAUGAUGACAUUACCAGUGCAUUAAAAGAGUUGCCAGCCAUUGUCAAAACGCUAAAAGAUAUAGUCGCAACCUUGAAUGAG